GAAGAGGAAAAUCAGCCAUACCAUCUUAAAUCCAAGUUUAAUACUUACCUUCCCUCUUCUGGGGAAAAACCUGGUCCCUUGUCUUCAACACUUAUUAAACCUCUAUUUUUUAGGGGAUUAUAAAAGGAAGCUUGCUAGGGAAAUUGUAUAGGACCCUUGAUAUAAUGUCCUAAAAAAGCAAUUUGAAAUAGGAAAAAAAAUUAUUUAUGGCUCCUGUUCUGGCAUGGUAUUGUCAAGGAGAAUGAGUGAAUAUCUGAAGAAACUGGGGAUUCAGUUUCACAUAAAUUUUGAAGUGGCUUGUUUAAUAGGUAGAAACCUUAAAUUACUUCUAACCUUGGGAUCAUGGGUAUUGGCACUAAAUGAUGAGGCACCAAGCAUAGCAGCUAGCUUAAUGUAUUAAUGUUCAGUGAAACAGGAAAGACUCAUUUGGUAGAAAAGUUUUUUCUGGGUAAUUUUGUUCUCUCCCCUUCUAACUCCUGGAUCUCUGAAGAUGCCUUAUAUAAAGUGAGCAGAAGCUGGAGGCCAAGCAAAAUGGAUCCAUGGUAGGACCUGGGAGAAGAUUAAAAGUAUUUGGUUCUGAGUGAGGUCAUUGCCCUGGACACUAUCAGGACUGAGCACAGAAAGCUCAGGUGAAUGGAGUAUGUCCAGAGAGGAUGAAGAGCAGUAUUAAUCCCUCUGAGGGAAAUGGGGUCCGUCAGGACUAGAACCACCUGGGAGGAAGCUCAUUCAGUUCCACAGAAGUGACAAUACAUGACAGAAGCCCAAUUAAUUCUUCUGUAAUGCACUUUGGAUUACAGUAUAACCGGCCCCUGUAUCACAUAGUCAUUGGUGCCAGGCACCCUGUGCACCUUAGAGGAGGGAGAUGAGCCUGGUUUGAUAGAGCACAAACCCCUGGAGAAAAAAAAAUUAAAACUCUACCUAUCCUCAAUCCAGUGGAAGCUCUCCCUCUUUAGGGUGUGUGUGUGUGUGUGUGUGUGUGUGUGUGUGUGCGCGUGCAUGUACAAGUGUGUGUGCGUGUGUUUGUAUAUUACCAAGAGCCUCCCUGUGCAUUUUGUUCUACUGUGCUAGCUGAGAAAUCUCACCAGGUUGGCACCUGAAUGCCUUACUCUCAGCAAUCAGAGGCUUCCUUGCUCUGUUGAUUUUAAUUUAAUUUUAUUUUGGUCAUAGGUUAGGACCUCUAUAGUGUCUUUCUUUUCCCCAUUAAAUAGUGGCCUUGUUCAGUAUGUCCUACCCCCCCCCCCCCCAACACUUUAAAUUACUGAAGCCACAAAGCACAUUCUUGGGGAUCAUGGAGGGUUGGGGUUCCAGAACGG
rnacentral:lncRNA from 1 species